GAUCAUGGCUCAGGAUGAACGCUAGCUACAGGCUUAACACAUGCAAGUCGAGGGGCAGCAUGACCUAGCAAUAGUUUGAUGGCGACCGGCGCACGGGUGAGUAACACGUAUCCAACCUUCCCGUUACUCUGGAAUAGCCUUUCGAAAGAAAGAUUAAUACCGGAUAGUAUCGAGAGGUUGCAUGAUUACCCGAUUAAAGAUUCAUCGGUAACGGAUGGGGAUGCGUUCCAUUAGGCAG
rnacentral:rRNA from 1 species